rnacentral:rRNA from 1 species
AGCAGCCGCGGUAAUUCCAGCUCCAAUAGCGUAUAUUAAAGUUGUUGCAGUUAAAAAGCUCGUAGUUGAAUUUCGGGGUUAGUAGAUUGGUCAUGCCUUUGGUAUGUACUGGUCUUACUGAUUCCUCCUUCCUGAUGAACCGUAAUGCCAUUAAUUUGGUGUUGCGGGGAGACUGGACUGUUACUUUGAAAAAAUUAGAGUGUUUAAAGCAGGCUCGCGCUUGAAUACAUUAGCAUGGAAUAAUGAAAUAGGACGUUCGAUCCUAUUUUGUUGGUUUCUAGGAUUGACGUAAUGAUUAAUAGGGAUAGUUGGGGGCAUUAGUAUUCAAUUGUCAGAGGUGAAAUUCUUGGAUUUAUUGAAGACUAACUACUGCGAAAGCAUUUGCCAAGGAUGUUUUCAUUAAUCAAGAACGAAAGUUAGGGGAUCGAAGACGAUACAGAUACCGUCGUA